UCUCUCUCUCUCUCUCUCUCUCACACACACAUUGACACACUCACCGAGUCAUGAUAGAUAUUUUUUGAUAAGAAGGGGCACUGAGGCACAACACAAACAAAACAGAACAAAGCAACAAAGUCUCAUUAGAGUCAAGUGACUCUUUCUCUCUAGCAGUAAAAAGCAAACCCCACUCUCUUUUUCUUUCUUUCUAUCAUUCUCUCUCCCUCUCUCUACUUUCCUUAUUUGGCUGUUUUUGGUGCAGUGUUGUCGUCGGCACUGUUUGAUUUGUUCUGAGUAAAGUCAGGGGUUCUGGCUGUAUCACGGACACCUGUACGUUCUGCAUGAAUGAGAGAGAGAAAGAGAGAGAGAGAGAGCAAAAGAGAAUACAAAGCGAGACAAUAGUGAACGAAGAAAGAAAGAGUUUUUUUUUUUUGGUUUCUUUUUUCUUUGGGGGAGGGUGUUUUUCUUUCUUGGUCAAGUCUAAGGGGGAAAAAGAAAACCCUAAAUCCUGAUUGAAGUCUUUUCCGAGUUUCACACAGAAAGAGAAUGGAAUAAAAGAUUUUUAGUGAAUUUUGUGUGGUUUCCUUAAUUGGGUCUCGCUGUGUUUUCAGAUCUGACUCUUUCUUACUAUAUAUAUCUAUUUUUUCAUAGUAUUUCUUCUUUUGAGUCUGUAUGGUGAUUGGUGGGUGUUUUCUGUUUCCACAUUUGGGAAACUUUCUGUCUUUACUCAUUUCAUUCCUCUUUGUUUGAAAAUUCCAUAAUAUAUGCGGUCUCUGGGACAUAGAAAUUGACAGAAGAGAGUGAGCACACAGAGGCACUUGGUAUAAGUCUAUACUAUUGCUUUUGCGUGCUCACUUCUCUUUCUGUCACCUUCCAGUGCCGGUUUAGGUGCCAAAAAUCUUAUCUUUCCGGCCUGCUUUUUGUUCCAGAUCCUCUCUCUCUCUCUCUCUCUCUCUCUCAAACAUAUAUGCAAAUAUAUUUUCUCUAAUUUUAUGGGUGGAUACUUGUUUAUUUCAACCUUCAAGAACAGCUCGAGUAGACUGAAAGUGUAGUGUUUAUUCUUUGAAAUUGACAAAUGAUUUUAUGUUUAAUUAUUAGUAUAUGUUUUAUAAAUUGUUGAUUGUUUGAAAGCGUGACUUUUGAGGGUGUUUCUCUGAGAAGGUACGCUUGAUUACUGUGCGGAUUAGGCGGCAAAACAUGCUUAUAGCAUGGGACCAUUUACGUUAUAUAGGAGUAGUAGAAUGGUCCUAAUACAACUUGACUGCUCUUCCUUUUUUUCCCUUCUUUUUUUGAUUUCAGAUCUUUGAUAGUUAGUACUUAGGACCAGUAUUUUCAUGUUUGUGACUAUGUAGUGCCAUUUGGUUUAUAUUUUAUUCCUGCGCAUGCGUUUUCCACUCGAGAUUUGGUUCUGAUUGGAGUUUGUUCUCACCUGAAUCUAGCCAGAAUCUGAUUGCUAGCUUGUUCUCUCAGCUCAGAUACAUAUUUAUUUACUUAUUUUUCAUGGGUUUGAAACCCUAUUCUAGCUAUCACAGGGUUGCCUUUUGAUAGGAAUGGAUAAGGGUUUCCUAGGUCUGUAGUUUAGUCAAAAUCUCUUCAGUUACAUACCUACUAUUAUAUUUGAAUAUAUAUUAUUGAGUUUUUGGAGAAAACAAAUAAUUUCAGUCUAAUUUGUCAUUUUUGAUCUCAUAUAUUGUGAUUUGAUGGGAUGUAUUGAGUGUAGAAAAGAUGUGAACUCUUUUGGGUAUGGUUACGAUUGUAAGAAUUUUCCAGAUUUUAAGGAACUUCUUCAGCUGUUUUGUUUGCAGGCAGACAAGAAAUAUAGAAUCUUUUGAGGAACCGUCAACUCAAGUAUCGUGCACAAAAAUCUUGUCUCAAAAGAAAACGUGUGAAUUAGGUCUCGGCAUUUAAACAAUAAUGGUUUUAGUGUGUGGAGUCAUUUCAUGCGUUGAAUUGUGCUGGUAAAUGCUGUCGGUUGCUAGAUGGAAUGUUCAUAUAGCUUACUUGGCCAAGAAUGCAGAUUGCUUUAUGAAAAUGAAAUUUAGGAGUCUCCCAACUUUGCCGCGACAAGGUUCUUUCAAGCUUGCUUAAGAAAAUGAAGCUCCUUUCCAUGGUGACUAGUAGGAGUUCCCAAUAGAAAUGGCUAGGCCAUCUUACUUAAGCACGACAACAAAAUCAAGAUAUGAGGAUUUGAAAGAAGCUAAAGUGAAAGCUAUUUGGAAAGAUGUUCUUGAAAGCUCUGAUCCUGAAAGAAGCUAAAGUGAAAGCUAUUUGGAAAGAUGUUCUUGGAAGCUCUGAUCCUGAAAGAAGCUAAAGUGAAAGCUAUUUGGAAAGAUGUUCUUGGAAGCUCUUCUCAGUUGGAAUAAGGUGUUCAAGAGGCCUUGGUGUGAUUGCAAAUGUCUUUUACCAAAAGCUACAAUCCGUAGGUUUGAUUUCGAGAUUCAAUAUUACCAAAUGGGGUGUUCACGAGGUUGAGCCUUGGUGCAAUAACAAAUGCCUUUUACCAAAAGUGACAAGCUGUAGGUUUGAGUUGGAGAUUCAAUCUCUUCAAAUGGGGAGGAAGUUACACAGUUGGUCUUUCUACAAGGUAGAUUUGUAGCCCAAUGGUCUUUGGGCUUAGUGUCACCUCCAUCCUUGUUGGUGAGAAAAUACUGGGUUCAUACCUUCACCUAGCCAAAAAGGAAAAGGGGGUAGGAGUUAAGUAUAAUGGUAUUUGGCUUCAUGUAAUUUCAGGUCUUAAUUUGUUGCAUUUCUCUUGUAUACUUUCCGUGUACUGAGGCUUCACCCUUUCAUUUUGAUAAAAUCAUACAUACAUGUGUGUGAAGCCAUUUGGUGCAAGACACUCAUAGCUAUACCUGUACCCAAUUGCUUCAAGAAGCCAUUUGGUGCCUGUGUAUGAUGUUAAAACUAGGGCAGGGCUUUGAUCUCAAAUUUUCUUAAUGGUUUGCAUUUUAGGAUUUAACUUUGAGUCGCUCCCAAUAUGUUUGAAAAAUUCAGAAA